rnacentral:rRNA from 1 species
AUUGAACGCUGGCGGCGUGCCUAACACAUGCAAGUCGAGCGGUAACAGGCGUAGCAAUACGUGCUGACGAGCGGCGAACGGGUGAGCAAUGCUUCGGAAUCUGCCCAAUGAUGGGGAAUAACCAGUCGAAAGAUUGGCUAAUACCGCAUAAGCCCUUCGGGGGAAAGCGGGGGUCGCAAGACCUCGCGUCGAUGGAUGAGCCGAAGUCGGAUUAGCUAGUUGGUAGGGUAACGGCCUACCAAGGCGACGAUCCGUAGCUGGUCUGAGAGGACGACCAGCAAAGCGGGGACGGAGAGACGGCCCAGACCCCUACGGGAGGCAGCAGUGGGGAAUAUGGGACAAUGGGGGCAACCCGGAUCCAGGGACGCGGCGUGUGUGAAGAAGGCCUGCGGGUUGUAAAGCACUUUUAGUGGGGAUGAAAAGCACAUUGCUAAUACAAGUGUGUCUUGACCUAACCCAAAGAAAAAGCACCGGCUAACUCUGUGCCAGCCGCCGCCGUAA